UCUAGGAUGUACAUCAGAUGAUUGUUGCUCGUAUGCUACAAGAUUUCUUAGGAUCGUUUCUGUAUAGUCAAAGACUUCGAAACAAGGAAUUGUCAUCACUCCAUUCUCAAAUUUAAUAUCAAAUAAGCUUGUGUUAUCUCCAAGGUUGUGAUAUCCCUCCAAUCUUCUAUAAAUUUUUCCAAUUUUCGAAAAUGUAACUCCUGCUUCGCGAAGCUCUGUUGCAUUCGGCAUGUUAGUAUCCCAUGUUUGGUGGUCCUUAUCAUUUGGCAUAUUUUUCAAUCUAACCAUUUGUAAAGGAUUCCAACAUAAGCUUUUCCGGCAAUAUUCCAUUUCCAAACUAGGGUUUUCAGGAGUAAGGCUAGUUUUCUUCUCCAAAAGGUGACAUGACAUGUGUACUAGUUGAAGUAAAUGUUUGAUGUUUUUGGCAUCACCUUCAGUUUUAAGAAAUGAUGUAGGGCUCAUCUUCAAGAAGGAAGAAUUAAAGGUCUCUUUUACCAAUUUUAUGAAUGGUACUAUUAGAUCAAGUCGCGAAGGGGGUUCACCCCCCUCCCACCCCCCAAAUCCGCCAUUGAUUUGAUCCAUAGUCAUAUUGUGAAGCUUAGUGAGGACAAAGAAAGGAAGUUGGUUUUCUAGUAAUAACAAAUCUCGUCGUACUUGACCAUCUAUACAACUGUAGGGGAUAAUAAUAUCUUCUUCUGUUGGCUUCCUUCCACAACGCUCUCGAAUAAACUCAACUACAAAACAACCAUCAACCAACAACAUUUUCAAAAAUUGACCCGUAUUGUUGUCACUAUAAAUAUCUUCUAUACCAUCAUAACACUUUAGUGCCUCAUCUUUUAAUUUUCCCAAUUCAGUAAUGCAAGUUUUCACAUCAAGCCCAUCUUUCCUUCUGAGAAACCGUUGUAAGUAACGCAAUUUAUAAUUCUCCAUUAAGCGUAGUUGUAAAUUCUUCUUAUGGUAAGGACCAAUAGAGACCAACAUUGGCUUAUAAGCAUCUGGAUUUGAUUCACUUAGCCCCACACUUACUCUGAAUAUGGUACAAGAUUUGGUAGAUAAAUGGUACAAAUCUAAAUAUAUUUCAUCAAGAAUUUGAUUUGUCUCGAUUAACUCCACAUUCCUCCCUUCUUCUAUCUGUAAUUAAUGGAAAAGAGUCGUAGGAGUUUCAAGUUGAAUUACAAAAGUUUGAGGCUAAAAUUGCAUGAAAAGGAAGUAUAAGCGGAUGCGAAUCUAGAAUUUCUAGUAUUUGAGUGCACUACUAAACAAGAGUCAUAGGAGUAUCAAGCUAAAUUACAAAAGUUUGAGGCUACAACCGCGUGAAAAGGAUAUUUAUUAAGUAGGAACUAAUCCUUAUUUCUCUUGAUAAAGAAUUCAAUCUUCAACCAAGUGCACCAUUCAGCAUUCUUAAACCAUGUGUGCCAACAGUUAUUAUUAUACUAAUUUUAGUUAUUAUUUUACGGAGAGAUCAUGAGUUCACGUGCCCAUAAUCUCUCCUAUAAAUCUGACCCUCAGUAGAUAAGCAAAACUUCUUUAUAAGACAAAGUAUAAUGUAUAUAGGUCGGUUUGGUUAAGUUUAUUUCAUUUGUCAUACCAAAAGUAUUAUGUCCGUUUGCUAAAUCUAUAAACCAAAUAAAAAAUCAAAUUCCUAAACAAUUCCUAAAAUCAACUUCUACGAAGACACAAUCAGAGAAAAGAAAUGACUUUCAUUUUAUUAUAGUUCUCACGCCAUUAAUGCACAAGCAUUGAUGCAGUAAAUUGCAUGUAUGGAGUUGUGAGGAAACUCUACAAUGGAGACAUUCAAAUUACUUAACACUACCUGUGAAAGCUAGAACAGUCUGUAUGGCUGUGAGUAUAAGGAGUAUGACGGCUCCCACAGUUGAAGCUCCAGCCCAAGGACUGUUAAAAUAAUUGUGCCUCAAACUUGCCUUCAUUCGGUUCCAUGGUUUUUUACAAUGUUGAACUAACAUGAAGUAUUCUUCUUUGUAAUAGAAGUCAUAAGAAAUGGCAACCCCUUUCCCAAUUUUGUUAAAAAGGCUAGCCACUCUUUUGUCCUCUCCUAUCUCGUUCUUGAUAAUUCCUUUCUGGCGAAGCAAACUCACAUCUUUGUUCGAGUCGAUAAGAUAAUCCAUAAAAAUGGAAAAAUCACUGAAAUACAUCAGAUGAUUGUUGCUCGUAUGCUACAAGAUUUCUUAGGAUCGUUUCUGUAUAGUCAAAGACUUCGAAACAAGGAAUUGUCAUCACUCCAUUCUCAAAUUUAAUAUCAAAUAAGCUUGUGUUAUCUCCAAGGUUGUGAUAUCCCUCCAAUCUUCUAUAAAUUUUUCCAAUUUUCGAAAAUGUAACUCCUGCUUCGCGAAGCUCUGUUGCAUUCGGCAUGUUAGUAUCCCAUGUUUGGUGGUCCUUAUCAUUUGGCAUAUUUUUCAAUCUAACCAUUUGU
rnacentral:lncRNA from 1 species